rnacentral:sRNA from 2 species
AUUCUGCCCAAGCGGGGAAGGAUGAGAAGCUUCGACCAAGGUUCGACUUGAGCGCCAGCGAGAGAGCGUUGCCGCAGGCAAC